rnacentral:rRNA from 1 species
AGGGGAUUAGUGGCGAACGGGUGAGUAACACGUGGGUAAUCUGCCCUGCACUCUGGGAUAACUCCGGGAAACCGGUGCUAAUACCGGAUACGACUGCUGCGGGCAUCCGUGGUGGUGGAAAGCUCCGGCGGUGCAGGAUGAGCCCGCGGCCUAUCAGCUUGUUGGUGGGGUAGUGGCCUACCAAGGCGACGACGGGUAGCCGGCCUGAGAGGGCGACCGGCCACACUGGGACUGAGACACGGCCCAGACUCCUACGGGAGGCAGCAGUGGGGAAUAUUGCACAAUGGGCGCAAGCCUGAUGCAGCGACGCCGCGUGAGGGAUGACGGCCUUCGGGUUGUAAACCUCUUUCAGCAGGGAAGAAGCGGAAGUGACGGUACCUGCAGAAGAAGCACCGGCUAACUACGUGCCAGCAGCCGCGGUAAUACGUAGGGUGCGAGCGUUGUCCGGAAUUAUUGGGCGUAAAGAGCUCGUAGGCGGCGUGUCGCGUCGGAUGUGAAAGCCCGGGGCUUAACCCUGGGUCUGCAUUCGAUACGGGCAUGCUGGAGUUCGGCAGGGGAGAUCGGAAUUCCUGGUGUAGCGGUGAAAUGCGCAGAUAUCAGGAGGAACACCGGUGGCGAAGGCGGAUCUCUGGGCCGAUACUGACGCUGAGGAGCGAAAGCGUGGGGAGCGAACAGGAUUAGAUA